rnacentral:rRNA from 1 species
CGCGGUAUUUUGACCGUGCGAAGGUAGCAUAAUCAUUAGUCCUUUAAUUGAGGGCUUGUAUGAAAGGUUGGACGAGAAAUUAGCUGUCUUUAUAAAAAAGGUAGAAUUUGACUUUUAAGUGAGAAGGCUUAAAUAUUCUAAGGGGACGAUAAGACCCUAUAAAGUUUGACAUGUUUUAUAUUGAGAAAAAAAAUAGGUAGAAAAAUUUUUUUAGUAUAAUAUUGUUUUGUUGGGGCGACUAGGGUAUAAGGGAUUUAACUAUUCUAUAUUAUAUACAGAGAUAAUUGAAUUCUUGAACUUUAUUAGAAAUAGUAGAAUAAAUUACUUUAGGGAUAACAGCGUAAUUUUUUUUGAGAGUUCUUAUCGACAAAAAAGUUUGCGACCUCGAUGUUGAAUUAAAGAAAUUCUUUAUGGCGAAAAAGUUAUAGAAGAAGGUCUGUUCGA